rnacentral:rRNA from 1 species
UACGGAGGGUGCGAGCGUUGUCCGGAAUCACUGGGCGUAAAGGGCGCGUAGGUGGCGACCCAAGUCAACGGUGAAAGCUCGGCGCUUAACGCCGAGUCGGCCGUCGAUACUGGGUGGCUCGAGCACUGUAGAGGCAGAUGGAAUUCCGGGUGUAGCGGUGGAAUGCGUAGAGAUCCGGAAGAACACCGGUGGCGAAGGCGGUCUGCUGGGCAGUUGCUGACACUGAGGCGCGACAGCGUGGGGAGCAAACAGGG